ACCCGCUGAACUUAAGCAUAUCAAUAAGCGGAGGAAAAGAAACCAACAGGGAUUGCCUCAGUAACGGCGAGUGAAGCGGCAACAGCUCAAAUUUGAAAUCUGGUCCCCUCUGGGGGCCCGAGUUGUAAUUUGAAGAGGAUGCUUUUGGCGAGGCGCCGUCCGAGUUCCCUGGAACGGGACGCCGCAGAGGGUGAGAGCCCCGUACGGUCGGACGCCGAGCCUCUGUAAAGCUCCUUCGACGAGUCGAGUAGUUUGGGAAUGCUGCUCAAAAUGGGAGGUAAACCCCUUCUAAAGCUAAAUACCGGCCAGAGACCGAUAGCGCACAAGUAGAGUGAUCGAAAGAUGAAAAGCACUUUGAAAAGAGAGUUAAAAAGCACGUGAAAUUGUUAAAAGGGAAGCGCUUGCGACCAGACUUGCGCCCGUCGGAUCAACCGUCGCUUGCGGCGGCGCACUCCGGCGGGCUCAGGCCAGCAUCAGUUCGCUCGGGGGGAGAAAGGCGGCGGGAAUGUAGCUCCUCGGAGUGUUAUAGCCCGCCGUGUAAUACCCUCGGGUGGACUGAGGACCGCGCGUAUGCAAGGAUGCUGGCGUAAUGGUCGUCAGCGACCCGUCUUGAAACACGGACCAAGGAGUCGUCCUAAUAUGCGAGUGUACGGGUGUCAAACCCCUGCGCGUAAUGAAAGUGAACGGAGGUGAGAGCUUCGGCGCAUCAUCGACCGAUCCUGAUGUUAUCGGAUGGAUUUGAGUAAGAGCAUAUUGGGCCGGACCCGAAAGAAGGUGAACUAUGCCUGUGUAGGGUAAAGCCAGAGGAAACUCUGGUGGAGGCUCGCAGCGGUUCUGACGUGCAAAUCGAUCGUCAAACAUGGGCAUGGGGGCGAAAGACUAAUCGAACCUUCUAGUAGCUGGUUUCCGCCGAAGUUCYCCCYUCAGGA
rnacentral:sRNA from 1 species